GUGCUCACUUCAGCAGCACAUAUACUAAAACUGGAAUGAUACAGAGGUGAUUAGUAUGGCCCCUGC
ensembl:snRNA U6 U6 spliceosomal RNA